rnacentral:lncRNA from 1 species
GUUUGAAGAAGAAAUAAAAUAUUUAUAAGUUGUAUGCUAUGUAAGGCUGUGACAUCACGUAUUUGUUCCUUUGCUCCACUCUUACCAACCUUUGCUCUGAUUUGUGCCAUGAGGACUAGAAACCUGGAAACCUACGUUUCCCAGCUACUCCAUCUCCCCACACCGCAGGCUUUCUGUUAUGUUCUGAUGAUGCAGUUGAAAGUCAAAUGCCAGAAGAUUGCGGGUAGGAGGCAGGAAUAGCUUACAGCUCUCACUCAGAUGGAUGGAGCAGCACGUGGAGACUCAUGUUAUCAACUUUUGCUCCAAGAACUACUGCAGGAACAUAUCAGGAAAGCCAAGAGAAUCCACAGACCCUUUGAAGGAACUGUACCACCCCUGCAGACUCCCUGAGAUGCCAAAAACUGUGAAUCUGCUUGCUUUCUCAACUGGGAGGCUCAUGGUCUGGGCUUAACUCCCACUUAUAAGUGAAAAUACGUAAUGGUCUCCAACUCCAUCCAGGUGUCUGUGAAUGCCAUUAUUUCAUUCCUUUAUAUAGGUUCCCCAGUGAGGAUUGUCAGGCCUCUGAGCCCAAGCUAAGCCAUCAUAUCCCCUGUGACCUGCACGUAUACAUCCAGAUGGCCUGAAGCAACUGAAGAUCCACAGAAGAAGUGAAAAUAGCCAGUUCCUGCCUUAACUGAUGACAUUCCACCAUUGUAAUUUGUUCCUGCCCCACCCUAACUGAUCAAUUGACUUUGUGACAAUACACCCUCCCUACCCUUGCGGUAAUGUAAUUUGUGAUAUUCCCUCACCCUUGUGAAGGUACUUUGUACUAUACACCCUCCCCACCCUUGAGAAGGUACUUUGUAAUAUUCUCCCCUGCCCUUAGGAAUGUACUUUGUAAGAUCCACCCCCUGCCCACAAAAAAUUGCUCCUAACUCCACCGCCUAUCCCAAACCUGUAAGAACUAAUGAUAAUCCCACCACCCUUUGCUGACUCUCUUUUCGGACUCAGCCCACCUUCACCCAGGUGAUAAAAAAGCUUUAUUGCUCACACAAA